AUUGAACGCUGGCGGCAGGCCUAACACAUGCAAGUCGAGCGGAGCGGCGGACGGGUGAGUAAUGCCUAGGAAUCUGCCUGGUAGUGGGGGAUAACUUCCGGAAACGGGCGCUAAUACCGCAUACUAUCAGAUGAGCCUAGGUCGGCUUAGCUAGUUGGUGGGGUAAAGGCCUACCAAGGCGACGAUCCCUAGCUGGUCUGAGAGGAUGACAAGCCACACUGGAACGGAGACACGGUCCAGACGCCUACGGGAGGCAGCAGUGGGGAAUCUUGGACAAUGGGCGCAAGCCUGAUGAAGCCAUGCCGCGUGUAUGAAGAAGGCGUUCGGGUUGUAAAGUACUUUCAGCGGGGAGGCGUUACCCGCAGAAGAAGCGCCGGAUAACUCCGUGCCAGCAGCCGCGGUAAUUC
rnacentral:rRNA from 1 species